UGCUGCUAUGAACAUUCUUGUACAAGUUUUCAUGUGGAAGCCUUACACUUUAAAAGAAUAUUAAAAUAAGAUGUAUCAUAUAAUCUGCCUUUUCUGUACCAAAAAUUUUAAAAUGCUACAGCAGAAAAAUGGUAAAAUGCUACACCAACUUUAUAAGCACCCUAUUUUCUUCCUAAUUCAUCUGAGAUCUCAAUCCUUCUUGAAGAAACCAAAACUACUGACUCAGUCUCUUUUCUGCUGAUCUAUUACUCUUGCACACAGGAAAAGAGUUAUAUGAGAUACUCAAGAAUGAACAAAGGCAGGUAAUAUAUGAUAAUAGAUCUCCUAAAUUGAGAACUAAGGUUGGUAAAGUUGGUGGAGUUUUUUGGGUGGGGGGAGGGGUAAUUUUAUAUUUUGAUACAGUUUCAAACUUACAAAACAGGUGCAAGAAGAGACCAAGGAACUCCUAUAUACCUUUUACCCAGAUUCACCAACUAUUUUCAUUUUGCUACCUUUGCUUAAUCAUUCUGUGAAUAUUAUUAUUUUAUAUACGCACAUUUUUUUAAAACCAUUUGAGAAAGCUGGAGACAUUAUGCCCUUUACUGCUAAUGGCUUCAGUGUAUAUUUUCUAAACAAAGGACAGUCUCUUACAAAACCUAGAACAAUUAUCAAAAACAGAAAAUGCAACACUGAUAUUGGUUAACAUUUUAAAGAUAAAAUUAAAUAUGCUGCUACAUAGAAAACCCACUAUACAAACUAUUUCGAUAUCAUACACGGUCCUUUGUUUGAAAGACAAAUAGUCUUCAAGCAAUGGUAACUGAGAAAUCACAAGUACUGACUUGUAUAAUUCAAAGUAAUAGUCUAUAGCAUACUAAAAUAAUGUCUAUCAAAUUUUUGAAGGAUUACUAUUGAGCUUAUUAAUAUUCAACAUACUGUUGUGAUAAAGGGUUGGAAGUGGGAACAACCAGUUUUCAAAAAAGGCAAGUAAAGGACAAGUAAAGUGACCUCACUUCCACCUUGAUAUUCCUUUGGAUAUGUACAACUCUUUGCCUCAAAGAAGCUUAAAGUAAACGCCAAACUAUAACUUUUCUUUAUAUUUGAGUGAGGAGAUAUUCUACUGUAAUACAAAUAGAGUUAAAUUCUAUGAAAUCUAUAGUUCCAUACUUUAAAUAGUACCCCUAAUAAAUACAUAAACCUCAAACAACUUACAUAUAAAUUAAAUAUUAAUGAAUACCCUCACACAUUGUUUUCACUUGCCAGAAACACUACCUUAUAUGAUUAGAACGGAAGAAACUAAUGAAGUUAAGGUGAAUUUUCAUUUAUUUGGAUUUAGGAAGCAACACUUUUGACACAUAAAGCCAUAGAGUAAUAAGGACGUUAAUAUUAUAAAAGGCAUUCCUAUUAUAUGAUUAUUUAAAACAUAUAAUAGAAAGUGCUUUGAUAUCCUCCAGUGAAAAGGGGGUAUCAAAAUGUAAACUAGUAAAGUAAGGUAGUAACACUAUUACAAAACAGAUGCUCAAAAGUAAUGUGCCAAUCAAAGACUAAUGGCAGAUUCUGUUUAAGGAAGUUGAUGACUACCUAGAAUUAAAGAUAAGUAGAUUCCUUAAACACAAAGGCUACUCUUUUAAGAAAAGAAAAGUAAAUAAAGUGACAACUGUAGUUCAUGAACAGAUAACUCCUCAAAAACAUCCAUAAAGUGGGUAAUGUAUAAUUAUGCUUGAAAGAAUUAUUUUUCCCUAAAACAAAGUUAAACUUUACAACUAAUUUUACUCAAAGUAUAUGCACCUCUUAGAGUCUACUUAGCACCUAACACAGUAUCAAACAAAUAGUAGCUACUCAAUAUUUAUUGAGUGAGUGGGUAGAUGAAUGGCUAAACCUACACAUUUAAGAUUAUCACUGCUAUCUUAGUAAACUGAAAAUCAUUAGGGUCAUAUUUCCAAGAAUCUGUCUCUAGAACCAGCACUAACGUGAAGUUUUGUAUCAAAUGUAUUGUGCACUUACAAUGUACUAGGUGGAACAUGAAGUGCUUUACAUGUUUAAUCCCAUUUACUCCUAACAACCACCCUCUGAUGAGAAGUAACAUUUUUCCCAUUGUGUAUCUGGGAAAACUAAAGUUUAGAGAAAACUAAGGCUUAGAGAAAUGACAAAGUCAUACAGCCAGUAAGGGGUGGGUGUGGGGUGUCAGGACUUAGAUAUUCUUAUUCCAGAGCUGACAUUCUUAACCACAUUCCAUAUUAGAAUGCCUUUCUAUAGAAUUUUUGCAUACUUUGAGAGAGGUUUGAAGGGUGAAGAUGAACAGACAUUAAGUAGGAAGUAAAACUGUUUCUUUGCUCAAUGAUCUGAGAUACUACAACAAGGUUAAAUAAACUGUGUAGGAAUCCAAAGAUACCCAUAAAAUCAGGAAGCCAGACUGCAUAGCUUCUAACAUGAAGACUGUCAGAGAAAAACAGAACAUAAGCAACAUCUGGACUAAACCUAAAGAGCUUUAAAACAGUUUCUAUUCUCCUAUAACACACACUUGAAAGGGGAAAAGAAAAAGAAAAAGUCUACCUGAAACCACUGUGACAUUUCACUGAACUUCAAGCGGAGGCAAAAUGCUUCAAGGAAAAUCGCAGGAUGUAUGUUAGCAAAUUAUGGAAGAUCACGACUUUAAUUAAUUAAAAAUCUCUUCAAAUUUCAGCUGUGUAAUAGAGACUCACAAACAUCAGACCAAAUACGAUGUGAUGUAAUUCUUCUACCAUAUGCAGAAAGCAAUUAAAUAAUCUAUUACCCUUUCUUUGAGUGAUUAGUUUCCCAUACUUUGAGAAAAUGCUAAUACAAAAUACUCUAUAAUCAUACUGAGCAAAUUCUUAGAAAUGAGCUCUUCACAAUGAGCUACUGGUACACAAAAGAUGAUUAUCUUUCCCUGUUAACAGACUUACUACAUCUUGUCUCGUCCUUCGACUGCACAAACCCAAUUCUUUCUAUGUAUUCACAUAGGCUAGAUUUUUUUGUGGCUCUUCUUGCACUCACUUUGAUACAUAAUUC